AGGAAGUGGCACUACUUGGGAAGGAAGAAGUGUAUCACAGCCAGGCCCAGUAUGGCUCUCUUCUCCUGAUGCCUGAGGAUCCAGAUGUGAAAUCCUCAGCUACUUGUCCAGCCCCAUGUCUGCCUGUGUGCCACCAUCCUACCUGCCACGAUGGUAGUGGACUAAACCUCUGAAAUGUACAAUGAAGAUUGAGAACUACAAAUGACCACUUACCUCUGUGACCCCCUUCGACAAGCCAUUGUUCCCUCUCUCUCCUCUCCAAUCAGCCUGUCAUCAUUUCCCCUCUCUCAGCCCAUGUGCCCCUCUCUCAGAAUGGUCUGAGCUUCUUGCCUGCAGUCCUGACUCCUAGUCAGCCUACCUUACUGGUCUUGCCAUCUCCACAGUCCUUUGACAGCCCUAACUAGUCCGGACUCUCUAUUCUAUGGCUCCUGCCUGACUGAAGCACCUGUUUGUGGUCCUCCUCUCUCAGAUCUUGCUUCCCUACCUCACUCAUCUCUCUCAGCUUCACUCUUCCUCCCUCCCCUCAAUGUCAUGCCUGGGUACUUUAUGCAGGGCCAAGUUGUAACUGAACUUGGUAUUUGUCCUGCACUCCCAUUGCUAUAUAGACCAUAAUUCGGUUGAUCAAUGGAGGCAGGUUCUGCCUUGAACUUGAAGUAUCUGUACAGAGAUCUCUUGGCAAGUGACCAUUACCACAUGGACAUAAACUAUCAAGAUGUGCUCACAACCUGCCUGCCUAGUGCCUCCAAACCUGCUGCACACUCUUCCUGGAUAACUAUGACUGCAUGAAGGAUGGACUCUGUUGUGUUUGGUAGCUUGUUAUGAGACACUAUUACCAAGACAAAUUGGCUGGGGAGCUGAAGUUGAGAGUUUCCUAUUUCUUGGGAUCUAUCCACCAACCCUACACUUGAACUCUGCUCCACCAUAAGACUUUGUGACAUGGUGAGUUUGCCCAUCUCUGAUCUCAGGGAGGAUUCAAGGAGGGCUCAUAAAGGACUCCCACAUCUACAACCCCAAGAUAUAAAAGGAAUCCUGCUUCUGAAGUUAGUUCCACCUCUGAAAGGAACAGGUUAUUCGAGCUAGGUUCAGGAUACUAAGUUAGAGUCGGAUAGCUCCUAACAGACAUGACCCUGCCUUACUCUUUGCUUUCUGGUCAUUCUUUUAUUUCCAUGAGACUAAAGCACCCUGGCAUAGUGACUGAGGUGAAAGGCUGUGACUUUGGCCUCUCUUCAGGGCCUGUCUCAGAAAGUUGGAGCAGUUCUAUGUCCUUCCCACUCCUGUUCAGUGGAUGGAGGAGGACUAUCAGUACCUUCGACAUGUCCCACUGUUAGAAGAGAUUUUCUUAUAUGUACUGAAGACCAUGCAUCUUGCAGCCCCGUGGUUUGUCAUAAUUCUCCAUAGCUCAGCUCUAGGAGCAACUUGAAAAUUUUCCUGCUGGCAUUCUGUCUCCUUGGUAGCAGGUUAGCAAGGCCACAGUUUUAGCUAUAGGAGCCUACUAGGAUGAUUGGGAUAUCUCCCCAGAGGGAUGGAGGUGACUAAAAUCAACUCUUCCCCUUCCCUCUCUCCUGGUUCUUGGAGAAGCAGCCACCACCUGACUGCCAUGUGGUGCUAAGCUGGAGAUAAAUUAACCUAUGAAUGAUAGCAGAGAACGAAGAUGAGCAGCA